rnacentral:tRNA from 1 species
GGGUGGUUAGCUCAGCUGGUAGAGCGCCUGCUUGACUUGCAGGAGGUCAGUGGUUCGAACCCACUACCACCCACCA